UCCCGUUUAGCUCAGUUGGUAGAGCGCGUCACUAGCAAUGACGAGGUCAGUCGUUCGAGACUUCGAGUCGGCU
rnacentral:tRNA from 1 species